AGAGUUUGAUUCUGGCUCAGAACGAACGCUUGCAGCGUGGAUUAGGCAUGCAAGUCGAACGAGAAACUUUUUCUAUGAACUUUCGGGUGAUUAGAGAUUGAAGAAAGUGGCGGAAGGGUGAGUAACGCGUGGGCAAUUUGCCUCUAUGUUGGGGACAACGUCUGGAAACGGGCGCUAAUACCGAAUGUGAUGUUUUAACGCAUGUUAAGAUUAUUAAAGGUGGGGAUCUUCGGACCUGCCGCAUAGAGAGAAGCCCGCGUCCCAUCAGCUUGUUGGUAAGGUAAUGGCUUACCAAGGCAUACGGGUAGCCGGGUUGAGAGACCGAUCGGCCACACUGGGACUGGGACACUGCCCAGACUCCUACGGGAGGCUGCAGUCGAGAAUCAUUCGCAAUGCACGAAAGUGUGACGAUGCGACGCUGCGUGGGGGAUGAAGGCUUUCGAGUUGUAAACCCCUGUCAUGAGAGACAAGACGUUAUAGGGUUAAUAACCUUAUGACCCGAUGGUAUCUCAAGAGGAAGCCACGGCUAACUCUGUGCCAGCAGCCGCGGUAAUACAGAGGUGGCGAGCGUUGUUCGGAUUUACUGGGCGUAAAGGGUGCGUAGGUGGGUCUGUGUGUCGGGUGUGAAAUCUCAUCGCUCAACGAUGAAACUGCAUUCGAAACUACAGAUCUAGAGUGUAUGAGGGGAAAGCGGAAUUCUUGGUGUAGCGGUGACAUGCGUUGAUAUCAAGAAGAACACCGGUGGCGAAGGCGGCUUUCUGGCAUACUACUGACACUGAGGCACGAAAGCUAGGGGAGCGAACAGGAUUAGAUACCCUGGUAGUCCUAGCCGUAAACGUUGUUCACUAGGUGUGGGAGGUGUUGACCCCUUCCGUGCCAAAGCUAACGCAUUAAGUGAACCGCCUGGGGAGUACGGCCGCAAGGUUAAAACUCAAAGAAAUUGACGGGGGCCCGCACAAGCGGAGGAGCAUGUGGCUUAAUUCGAUGCAACGCGAAGAACCUUACCAGGGCUUGACAUGUAACUGGAUGCCCGGCGAAAGCUGGGAGGCCUUCGAGGCUGUUACACAGGUGCUGCAUGGCUGUCGUCAGUUCGUGCCGUGAGGUGUUUGGUUAAGUCCAAUAACGAACGCAACCCUUGUGUUUAGUUGCUAGUUCUGAUUAUUCAGAGCGCACUCUAAACAGACUGCCCGUAUACGCGGGAGGAAGGUGGGGAUGACGUCAAGUCAGUAUGGCCCUUACGCCCUGGGCUGCACACGUGCUACAAUGGUCGGUACAGAGGGAUGCAAGACCGCGAGGUGGAGCAAAUCCUAAAAACCGAUCCCAGUCCGGAUUGGAGUCUGAAACUCGACUCCAUGAAGUCGGAUUCGCUAGUAAUGGCGCAUCAGCUACGGCGCCGUGAAUACGUUCCCGGGCCUUGUACACACCGCCCGUCACAUCACGAAAGCCGUCUGCACCAGAAGUCGUUGGUCCAACCUGCAAAGGAGGAAAACGCCGAAGGUGUGGGUGGUGAUUGGGAUGAAGUCGUAACAAGGUA
rnacentral:rRNA from 1 species